CAAACGACUCUCGGCAACGGAUAUCUCGGCUCACGCAUCGAUGAAGAACGUAGCAAAAUGCGAUACUUGGUGUGAAUUGCAGAAUCCCGUGAACCAUCGAGUUUUUGAACGCAAGUUGCGCCCGAAGCCUUUUGGCCGAGGGCACGUCUGCCUGGGCGUCAAAC
rnacentral:rRNA from 1 species